UCUUGUGACACUUGAAAUGUACCUUUGGGUUAUUUUGGCAACCUCUCAUCUAUAUCAUAUAUAAGAUGUGCAAACAUCUUUCAAUAAAAAUGUCAAAGAAAGUGUUACACUUCCAGUUUUUAUCUUCUUGUGUGAUAGAUACAUCACUCACAGAUGCAUAUCAGAUGAAAGCCUGCACUGGUGAUUAGACUGAUGUGUAACAGAAGUCAACAUAAUCAGUCUUGUGUGUUGCUGAAGUGUCUUUGAGUUUUGGGGGAUACGGAUCUUUGUCAUUUAUAUCUCUUAUCCGUCUCUAUGAGCAGAUAUUCCUUUAAAAAACGACCUUAAAAAGAACGCACUUGGCUCCGUUGGCUCGACUGCAGUCGUAUAAUCACAACACGCUGCCUUCGGGUCUGGCCUGUGAUCCGCGUUGCGUGUCAUCUGCGUCUCUUCAAGUGAUCAAACGAACCGUUUCCUUUAUUCGAUAUAAAAGCGUGUUUGUUAGGGGGAAGAUACGGAGAUCAAAAGAUGCCAAGAUUUCGGACCUGCAGUCAGACAUGGGCGUACCUGUUGUCUGGUCGUACUCCUCGGCCACAGCUGACCGAGGAAAUGAGGCCGAAGGCCGAACAUCUAGACGGCAUUUUAAGAGCACGCAACUCCAGAAGAGAAUUCAAGAAUUGAACAUGUUUGUCGUGGGAACCUCCGCCCCCUCCCUCAAGGUGGAGACCCCUGUACACCAGGUUCUUGCAUCAUUGUUUCUCAAAUCCAUAAAAAACAUUAUUUGACUUUUCUUGUAACCAUCACAUUCCUCGUCGCCUCACCACUGAACCCAUCGAGCCGCAUGGUUAUCAAUAUAUCUACCGUCUACCGUCUCAUCUGGAUUUGCUUGUCAGAAGACCCCACAGGGCACGAAUGAGCCCCGUGCUCUACAGUUACUCACCUCACAUACAUAGUUUCCUCACUUAUACUUCGAUAACAUCACAGGUGUGAGUUGCAUCUACUUCCUGUUCCUCUCUGAUUUCUCGCUCGGGGAAAGGAGUUGGUCAUAUUGCAAAUUGCCGGCCUUUACUGGCAAUGAGAAUUACAUGCAUUAAAGUAAUUGAC